rnacentral:rRNA from 1 species
UACGAAGGGGGCUAGCGUUGCUCGGAAUCACUGGGCGUAAAGCGCACGUAGGCGGAUUGUUAAGUCAGGGGUGAAAUCCUGGAGCUCAACUCCAGAACUGCCUUUGAUACUGGCGAUCUCGAGUCCGGGAGAGGUGAGUGGAACUGCGAGUGUAGAGGUGAAAUUCGUAGAUAUCGAGAGGAACACCGGUGGCGAAGGCGGCCAACUGGACGAACACUGACGCUGAGACACGAAAGCGUGGGGAGCAAACAGG